UAUCGGCAACUCUCCGUCCAUUGUUUCACCAACUCCUUACAAAUCCGAGCAGCCUCCAAUGGAUCUGAGAGCAAAUUUCUAAAAAUAACAUUAUUUCUAUGUCGUCGGAGCACCCACCAGAUUGCUGCUAGGAAGCAUUGCCUCUUCACAGCCGCCUGAUCCUUCCCUCUUUCCGUCUCAUCCUUUUCCUAAAGGGCUCUGACAUCUCGUCAAACUGGAAGCACCAUAAGAAAGCGGCUAAACACACAAGUCCUGAGUAGGUGAUUCACUAUUUCUUGCGCACAUGCACACAGAACGUACCAUUGAUACCCCGUCCACCAUCUCUUAUUUAAAUUAGGGAAAACUUCAAAAACCCUCCCUGUGGUUUCGUAGUUUUUCACUUUGCCCCCCCUGUGGUUUAAAAUGUAUCAAAUUGCUCCCCUGUGGUUUCGUUUUUAUCUUUUCGGUAGCUUUUUCGUUAAUAUUUUAUUAAAUUAUAUACAAAAAACUUUAGAUACCCAUCUAGAUUUAUCAAAAUAUUCACUAUAGUACCCUUUAAUUUUAACAUUAUCACUGAUUUAAGAAAAAAAAAUAAUGAAAUUGAUAAGAAAAAGAGAAAAAAGAAACCACAGGGGGGCAAAUUGAUACAUUUUAAACCACAUGGGGGGCAAAGUGAGAAACUACGAAACCACAGGAGGUAUUUUAGAAAUUUUCCCUUUAAAUUAUCUACAAUGAAAAUUCUUUUCUCUAUCACUAGCCAAAUGAAAGUCUUCACUUUCGUCGAUAUGCGUAAUUUUCAUAUCUUAGCUAGUAGAUUAUCUAUUACUCCCCCAUCAUUAAGCAUCUCAUACAAAGACUUAACUGUGAAUUCUUACCUCUUGUUUUAUCGCCAACAUAAAACAUCCCGACUAUUUACAGUAU
rnacentral:lncRNA from 1 species